rnacentral:rRNA from 1 species
GACGAACGCUGGCGGCGUGCCUAAUACAUGCAAGUUGAGCGAUGAAGAUUGGUGCUUGCACCAAUUUGAAGAGCAGCGAACGGGUGAGUAACGCGUGGGGAAUCUGCCUUUGAGCGGGGGACAACAUUUGGAAACGAAUGCUAAUACCGCAUAACAACUUUAAACAUAAGUUUUAAGUUUGAAAGAUGCAAUUGCAUCACUCAAAGAUGAUCCCGCGUUGUAUUAGCUAGUUGGUGAGGUAAAGGCUCACCAAGGCGAUGAUACAUAGCCGACCUGAGAGGGGGAACGGCCACAUUGGGACUGAGACACGGCCCAAACUCCUACGGGAGGCAGCAGUAGGGAAUCUUCGGCAAUGGACGAAAGUCUGACCGAGCAACGCCGCGUGAGUGAAGAAGGUUUUCGGAUCGUAAAACUCUGUUGGUAGAGAAGAACGUUGGUGAGAGUGGAAAGCUCAUCAAGUGACGGUAACUACCCAGAAAGGGACGGCUAACUACGUG